rnacentral:rRNA from 1 species
UACGUAGGGUGCAAGCGUUAAUCGGAAUUACUGGGCGUAAAGCGCGCGCAGGCGGUUGUGCAAGACAGGUGUGAAAUCCCCGGGCUUAACCUGGGAACUGCACUUGUGACUGCACAGCUGGAGUACGGCAGAGGGGGAUGGAAUUCCGCGUGUAGCAGUGAAAUGCGUAGAUAUGCGGAGGAACACCGAUGGCGAAGGCAGUCCCCUGGGCCUGUACUGACGCUCAUGCACGAAAGCGUGGGGAGCAAACAGG